rnacentral:piRNA from 1 species
UCGCAAUAGUGAUUAAUAAAU